rnacentral:lncRNA from 1 species
CUAUUCUCAGCAUGGUCUUGAAGCACCGGAUCAGAGAAUGCAUGGGGAAUCCCAAGGUUAGAAGCACCAACGAACUCGUUUGAUCCUGACACUAUACCUUGCAAAAUGUUCUGCUGUCGAGAAAACUUCUCAGAAUGGAAGGUCCUCUCCUCGAGUGCAGGUCUGUCAAUUUGAUGUUUGAAGUGAAUCCCGUGCAGUUGUUCUGAAACCUCAGCAUCAUUAUGCAAGCAAGGAAGAUGCCUGGAGAACCCAUAAGUAGAGUGCCCAUCCUCCAUUCCAUCAUAGUUUUCAAAGGAUUGAUCUGUGAGG